rnacentral:rRNA from 1 species
GAUGAACGCUGGCGGCGUGCCUAAUACAUGCAAGUCGAGCGAACGGACGAGAAGCUUGCUUUUCUGAUGUUAGCGGCGGACGGGUGAGUAACACGUGGAUAACCUACCUAUAAGACUGGGAUAACUUCGGGAAACCGGAGCUAAUACCGGAUAAUAUUUUGAACCGCAUGGUUCAUAAGUGAAAGACGGUCUUGCUGUCACUUAUAGAUGGAUCCGCGCUGCAUUAGCUAGUUGGUAAGGUAACGGCUUACCAAGGCAACGAUGCAUAGCCGACCUGAGAGGGGACUCGGCCACCCAUGAACUGAAACCCGGGCCGACCCCCAACGGGAGGCAGCGGUAGGAAAUUUUCCGGAAGGGGCGAAAGCCUGGCGAGGCAACGCCGGGUAAGUGUAGAAGGUCUUUGGAUAGUAAAACUCUGUUAUUAGGGAAAAAAAGAUGUGAAGAUAACGGGGCACGUCGUGACGGAACCGAAAGAGAAAGCCCCGGCAAACUGCUU